rnacentral:rRNA from 1 species
CCUACGGGAGGCAGCAGUAGGGAAUCUUCCACAAUGGACGAAAGUCUGAUGGAGCAACGCCGCGUGAGUGAAGAAGGUUCUCGGAUCGUAAAACUCUGUUGUGAGGGAAGAACAAGUACCGGAGUAACUGCCGGUACCUUGACGGUACCUCAUUAGAAAGCCACGGCUAACUACGUGCCAGCAGCCGCGGUAAUACGUAGGUGGCAAGCGUUGUCCGGAAUCAUUGGGCGUAAAGCGCGCGCAGGCGGUCCCUUAAGUCUGAUGUGAAAGCCCACGGCUCAACCGUGGAGGGUCAUUGGAAACUGGGGGACUUGAGUGCAGAAGAGGAAAGCGGAAUUCCAAGUGUAGCGGUGAAAUGCGUAGAGAUUUGGAGGAACACCAGUGGCGAAGGCGGCUUUCUGGUCUGUAACUGACGCUGAGGCGCGAAAGCGUGGGGAGCAAACAGGAUUAGAUACCCUGGUAGUCCACGCCGUAAACGAUGAGUGCUAAGUGUUAGGGGGUUUCCGCCCCUUAGUGCUGCAGCUAACGCAUUAAGCACUCCGCCUGGGGAGUACGGUCGCAAGACUGAAACUCAAAUGAAUUGACGG